GAACAAUUCGUCGGGUCGUUUUA
rnacentral:siRNA from 1 species